GCCGACGAGCGGCGGGCACGCGCCGGGCUGCUGUCCCGGCAGGUCACGCUCCGCUGAGCUCGGGGCCCGGCUCCCUCGCCGACU
rnacentral:tRNA from 1 species